UAGUCCACGCCGUAAACGAUGUCUACUAGCCGUUGGGAAACUUGAUUUCUUAGUGGCGCAGCUAACGCACUAAGUAGACCGCCUGGGGAGUACGGCCGCAAGGUUAAAACUCAAAUGAAUUGACGGGGGCCCGCACAAGCGGUGGAGCAUGUGGUUUAAUUCGAUGCAACGCGAAGAACCUUACCAGGCCUUGACAUCCUGAGAAUUUGGUAGAGAUACCUUAGUGCCUUCGGGAACUCAGUGACAGGUGCUGCAUGGCUGUCGUCAGCUCGUGUCGUGAGAUGUUGGGUUAAGUCCCGUAACGAGCGCAACCCUUGUCCUUAGUUGCCAGCACGUAAUGGUGGGAACUCUAAGGAGACUGCCGGUGACAAACCGGGAGGAAGGUGGGGACGACGUCAAGUCAUCAUGGCCCUUACGGGGGUGGGGCUACACACGUGCUACAAUGGGCAGUGACAAUGGGGUUAAUCCCAAAAAACUGUACUCAGUUCGGAUUGUUCUCUGCAACUCGAGAGCAUGAAGUUGGGAA
rnacentral:rRNA from 1 species